AACAGGAUUAGAUACCCUGGUAGUCCACGCCGUAAACGAUGUCGACUUGGAGGUUGUGCCCUUGAGGCGUGGCUUCCGGAGCUAACGCGUUAAGUCGACCGCCUGGGGAGUACGGCCGCAAGGUUAAAACUCAAAUGAAUUGACGGGGGCCCGCACAAGCGGUGGAGCAUGUGGUUUAAUUCGAUGCAACGCGAAGAACCUUACCUACUCUUGACAUCCAGAGAACUUAGCAGAGAUGCUUUGGUGCCUUCGGGAACUCUGAGACAGGUGCUGCAUGGCUGUCGUCAGCUCGUGUUGUGAAAUGUUGGGUUAAGUCCCGCAACGAGCGCAACCCUUAUCCUUUGUUGCCAGCGGUCCGGCCGGGAACUCAAAGGAGACUGCCAGUGAUAAACUGGAGGAAGGUGGGGAUGACGUCAAGUCAUCAUGGCCCUUACGAGUAGGGCUACACACGUGCUACAAUGGCAUAUACAAAGAGAAGCGACCUCGCGAGAGCAAGCGGACCUCAUAAAGUAUGUCGUAGUCCGGAUUGGAGUCUGCAACUCGACUCCAUGAAGUCGGAAUCGCUAGUAAUCGUGGAUCAGAAUGCCACGGCGAAUACGUUCCCGGGCCUUGUACACACCGCCCGUCACACCAUGGGAGUGGGUUGCAAAAGAAGUAGGUAGCUUAACCUUCGGGAGGGCGCUUACCACUUUGUGAUUCAUGACUGGGGUGAAGUCGUAACAAGGUAACC
rnacentral:rRNA from 1 species